CAGUCGCCGCGGGAAUACGGAGGGGGCUAGCGUUGUUCGGAAUUACUGGGCGUAAAGCGCACGUAGGCGGCUUGGUAAGUUAGAGGUGAAAGCCUGGAGCUCAACUCCAGAAUUGCCUUUAAGACUGCCGAGCUAGCAGGUGAGAGUGGUAAGUGGAAUUCCGAGUGUAGAGGUGAAAUUCGUAGAUAUUCGGAAGAACACCAGUGGCGAAGGCGGCUUACUGGCUCAUACUGGACGCUGAGGUGCGAAAGCGUGGGGAGCAAACAGGAUUAGAGACCCCGGUAGUCCCUGUCUCUUAUAC
rnacentral:rRNA from 1 species